AGUAAAGUCAGCUAAUUUAAACUUUUGGGGUCAUCACCCCAAGUGUUGGGCUAGAAUCCUUCCUUUACUA
rnacentral:tRNA from 1 species